rnacentral:rRNA from 1 species
CCUACGGGGGGCUGCAGUGGGGAAUAUUGCACAAUGGGCGCAAGCCUGAUGCAGCCAUGCCGCGUGUGUGAAGAAGGCCUUCGGGUUGUAAAGCACUUUCAGCGGGGAGGAAGGCGUUAAGGUUAAUAACCUUGUCGAUUGACGUUACCCGCAGAAGAAGCACCGGCUAACUCCGUGCCAGCAGCCGCGGUAAUACGGAGGGUGCAAGCGUUAAUCGGAAUUACUGGGCGUAAAGCGCACGCAGGCGGUCUGUCAAGUCGGAUGUGAAAUCCCCGGGCUCAACCUGGGAACUGCAUUCGAAACUGGCAGGCUAGAGUCUUGUAGAGGGGGGUAGAAUUCCAGGUGUAGCGGUGAAAUGCGUAGAGAUCUGGAGGAAUACCGGUGGCGAAGGCGGCCCCCUGGACAAAGACUGACGCUCAGGUACGAAAGCGUGGGGAGCAAACAGGAUUAGAUACCCUAGUAGUC